AGUGAACGCUGGCGGUAGGCCUAACACAUGCAAGUCGAACGGCAGCACAGUAAGAGCUUGCUCUUACGGGUGGCGAGUGGCGGACGGGUGAGGAAUACAUCGGAAUCUACUUUUUCGUGGGGGAUAACGUAGGGAAACUUACGCUAAUACCGCAUACGACCUACGGGUGAAAGCAGGGGAUCUUCGGACCUUGCGCGAUUGAAUGAGCCGAUGUCGGAUUAGCUAGUUGGCGGGGUAAAGGCCCACCAAGGCGACGAUCCGUAGCUGGUCUGAGAGGAUGAUCAGACACACUGGAACUGAGACACGGUCAAGACUCCUACGGGAGGCAGCAGUGGGGAAUAUUGGACAAUGGGCGGAAGCCUGAUCCAGCAAUACCGCGUGGGUGAAGAAGGCCUUCGGGUUGUAAAGCCCUUUUGUUGGGAAAGAAAAGCAGCAGGUUAAUACCCCGCUGUUCUGACGGUACCCAAAGAAUAAGCACCGGCUAACUUCGUG
rnacentral:rRNA from 1 species